CCGCCAUUUCCUGGUACCCAUCCUUGCUGGUGGUGUCUGCAAUCAGCGGGGCCCUGGCUGAGUUCACGGGAAAGGAAAUGGCUCAUUGCUUCAGCCUUUAGACCGGGGGGCAGGGAGGGCCUGUCGGGAGGCCGCCUAGUCAGGGGCGUGUCAGAGGCCAGAGGGGCCGGGGCCCAGCAGCUGGGGCUUGGUAAGCUCUGGAGCCUGGGCUCCAGGCCAGCUCGCUGCCAACCUCCACCUGAGACCACCCCACCCCCAACCCCCUUCCUUCUCUCCCCUGCUGCCGAGGCGCGCCCUUCCGGAGUGAAACUUUGGUUUCUCACGACCCGGAAGGCUUGAAGCAAACCUGCAAUUACUCACUGCCUGGUCUGUGCGGGCUGCAGCUCUCAGACUCAGGAUGAGGUGGCGAUAUGGGGUCUUGCUAUGUUGCUGAGGCUGGUCUCCAAUUCCUGAUUUCAAGUGAGCCUCCUGCCUCUGCCUCCCAAAGUACUGUGAUGAGCUACUACGCCUGGUCAUUGUCCCUCUUUCUCAUGACUCUCUGGACAUCCCUGGGGUGGAGGGUGGGGCAGGCACACACAUCCCUCAACUUCCCAGUGGUUCCACGAUGACUAAGCCAGCCCUGUCCCUGAGGCUGGGAGUCUGGAGCUAGGAUCCACCCCCAUGGCCUCAUAUCCCAACCUUGAGCCUGGGUUUCUGGUCAGACUGGACGGGCUAGCUCGGUCUCCUUAACUCUCAGAGUUGCCUUGUCCAGGCCCAGCGGGUCCCACACAGCCAGGCACACCCCACCCCACAGGGCUCCUGGGAAAUUCUCUGCCCCACCCUCAGGCUGCCUCAGACAGACUGAGGUUACCUGUGAUUGUCCCAGAUAACCCGAGUGAGCCCAUCCUCUGCUCUGGGUGGCUCCCUCCCUGGCAGCUGACCUGUAAAUUUUGAAAAGAUGGGGACAAUGCUCAGCUAGGAGGGAUGCUCCUGCUGUCUUCCCUGCUGGCCUGGCCACUCCCCAGACUGGACAGGUCCCUUGGCAGCUCUUCCCAGCAACCCAGGCAGCCCCAAGCCCCCUCUUGCUUGGUGUUCCAGGCCAGUGAGAAUCUCACUUCUUCUCCAAAACUUUGUCUUCCAACUCCUGUUUUGUUGUGUUUUGUUUUUUUAUUGAAACAGGGUCUCAUUCUGUUACCCAGGCUGGAGCUCAUGGCAUGAUCAUAGCUCACUGCAGCCUCAAACUCCUAGGCUCAAGCAAUUCUUCCCACCUCACCCUCCUGAGUAGCAGGGACUACAGAUGUGGGCCACCAUGGUCAGCUAAUUUAAAAAGUUUUUUUCUUAGGCCAGGCAUGGUGGCUCACGCCUGUAAUCCCAGCACUUUGGGAGGCCGAGGCAGGUGGAUAACAAGGUCAGGAGUUCGAGACCAGCCUGGCCAACCUGGUGAAACCCCUGUCUCUACUAAAAAUACAAAAAUUAGCCGGGCGUGGUGACAGGCACCUGUAGUCCCAGCUGCUUGGGAGGCUGAGGCAGAGAAUUGCUUGAACCCGG
rnacentral:lncRNA from 10 species